rnacentral:lncRNA from 1 species
AAAAAUACCCAAAAAAUACUAAAAAAAAGCUGAAAAACCUCAAGUUGACAAUGUAAGGUAUUCCAACGUUAGGUCUCUCAUUUCACUUCCCUUCACUUCCACUUCAUUCCACCAUCCCCAGGAUCCACUUUGUCUGCUGCCAAUUCUCAUCUCUGUCCCCAACUUGACAGACCCAGCUCUGUUUCCAAUAGAAUAAUAAAAAGAAAGAAAGAAAGAAAGAAAGAAAGA